UGCAAGUCGAACGGUAACAGGAUGUGCUUGCACAUCGCUGACGAGUGGCGGACGGGUGAGUAAUGCUUGGGAACUUGCCUUUGCGAGGGGGAUAACAGUUGGAAACGACUGCUAAUACCGCAUAAUGUCUUCGGACCAAACGGGGCUUCGGCUCCGGCGCAAAGAGAGGCCCAAGUGAGAUUAGCUAGUUGGUAAGGUAACGGCUUACCAAGGCGACGAUCUCUAGCUGUUCUGAGAGGAAGAUCAGCCACACUGGGACUGAGACACGGCCCAGACUCCUACGGGAGGCAGCAGUGGGGAAUAUUGCACAAUGGGGGAAACCCUGAUGCAGCCAUGCCGCGUGUGUGAAGAAGGCCUUCGGGUUGUAAAGCACUUUCAGUUGUGAGGAAAAGUUAGUAGUUAAUACCUGCUAGCCGUGACGUUAACAACAGAAGAAGCACCGGCUAACUCCGUGCCAGCAGCCGCGGUAAUACGGAGGGUGCGAGCGUUAAUCGGAAUUACUGGGCGUAAAGCGCACGCAGGCGGUUUGUUAAGCUAGAUGUGAAAGCCCCGGGCUCAACCUGGGAUGGUCAUUUAGAACUGGCAGACUAGAGUCUUGGAGAGGGGAGUGGAAUUCCAGGUGUAGCGGUGAAAUGCGUAGAUAUCUGGAGGAACAUCAGUGGCGAAGGCGACUCCCUGGCCAAAGACUGACGCUCAUGUGCGAAAGUGUGGGUAGCGAACAGGAUUAGAUACCCUGGUAGUCCACACCGUAAACGCUGUCUACUAGCUGUGUGUGUCUUUAAGACGUGCGUAGCGAAG
rnacentral:rRNA from 1 species